rnacentral:rRNA from 1 species
GAUGAACGCUGGCGGCGUGCUUAAUACAUGCAAGUCGAACGGAAAGGCCCUGCGUUUGUGGGUUUCUCGUUUGGCGAACGGGUGAGUAACACGUGAGUAACCUCCCCUUGACUUUGGGAUAUCAUUACGAAACUGGGGCUCAUAUCGCAUAGAAGCUCCUGCUGCAUGUUGUUGGUUGGAAAGAGACGGCGUUUGGGGAUCGACUCGCGGGUUAUCAGCUAGUUGGUGUGGUAGUUGCUGACGAACGCUUUGACGGGUAGCCGGCCUGAGAGCGUGACCAGCGACAAUGGGACUGAGGUACGGACCAGAAUCCUACGGGACGCAGAAGUCGAAAAUCUUACAGAGUGGGCGGAAGCCAGAUACGGCGACGCCGCGUGCGGGAUGACGGCUUUCGAGUUGUAAACCACUUUCGAAUGUGACAAAGCGUGAGUGACGGUAAUGAAUCAGGAAGCCCCGGCUAACUACGUG